rnacentral:ncRNA from 1 species
GUAUGUGAGGAUGCGGAUUACCUACAUCUGGACAUAAAGACCCUAUGAAGCUUCACUAUUCCCUAGGAUUGGCUUUGGGCCUUUCUUGCACAGCUUAUGUGGAGGGCGAAGAAGGUCUCCUUCCGAGAGGGCCCGAGCCAUCAGUGAGAUAUCACUCUAGAAGAGUUAGAAUUUUAACCUUAUGUCAAGACCUACGGGUCAAGAGACAAUCUCAGGUAGACAAUUUUUAUGGGGCGUAGGCCUCCCAAAAGGUAACGAAGGCGUGCAAAGGUUUCCUUAGGUCGGACGGAGAUUGACCCUCGAGUGCAAAAGCAAAAGAGAGUUUGACUGUAAGAUCCCACUCAUUGAGCAAGGACGAAAGUUGGCCUUAUUGAUCCGACGAUGCAAAGUGGAAAGAUCGUCGCUCAACGAAUAAAAGUUACUCUAAGGAUUCGAUCCUAUUUCUUUCGGUUUCUCCAUGUAUU